rnacentral:rRNA from 1 species
UACGGGGGGAGCAAGCGUUGUUCGGAUUUACUGGGGCGUAAAGGGCGCGUAGGCGGGCGCAACAAGUCACCGUUGUGAAAUCUCCGGGCUUAACCCGGAGCGGCCAAGUGAUACUGUCGUGCUAGAGUGCGGAAGGGGCUACUGGAAUUCUCGGUGUAGCGGAUGAAAUGCGUAGAUAUCGAGAGGAACACCUGCGGCGAAGGCGGGUAGCUGGGC